rnacentral:rRNA from 1 species
UGGGGAAUAUUGGACAAUGGGCGAAAGCCUGAUCCAGCAAUGCCGCGUGAGUGAUGAAGGCCUUAGGGUUGUAAAGCUCUUUUACCCGGGAUGAUAAUGACAGUACCGGGAGAAUAAGCCCCGGCUAACUCCGUGCCAGCAGCCGCGGUAAUACGGAGGGGGCUAGCGUUGUUCGGAAUUACUGGGCGUAAAGCGCACGUAGGCGGCUUUGUAAGUUAGAGGUGAAAGCCCGGGGCUCAACUCCGGAAUUGCCUUUAAGACUGCAUCGCUAGAAUUGUGGAGAGGUAAGUGGAAUUCCGAGUGUAGAGGUGAAAUUCGUAGAUAUUCGGAGGAACACCAGUGGCGAAGGCGACUUACUGGACACAUAUUGACGCUGAGGUGCGAAAGCGUGGGGAGCAAACAGG